rnacentral:rRNA from 1 species
UACAGAGGUCUCAAGCGUUGUUCGGAUUCAUUGGGCGUAAAGGGUGCGUAGGUGGCGCCGUAAGUCAGGUGUGAAAUCUCGGGGCUCAACCCCGAAACUGCAUUCGAUACUGCCGUGCUUGAGGACUGGAGAGGAGACUGGAAUUUACGGUGUAGCGGUGAAAUGCGUAGAUAUCGUAAGGAAGACCAGUGGCGAAGGCGGGUCUCUGGACAGUUCCUGACGCUGAGGCACGAAGGCCAGGGGAGCAAACGGG